AGAACACAUAAUCCAGCAACAGCUGCUGCCACAGAGAGGAAUUCAGGAAAAAGAGACUGAGGUUGAUAUCAACUCUAUAGGAAACAGAGAUCAAACUAACUCUACCUGAGUACACACACUAAUAGCUCAUUUGGGGAUUUAAGGUAGAGAAAUAGCCCAAACUUUCAGGAUAUUUUCCUAAUUAUAAUGUAUUGAUGUUGUUCUGAUUCCAGAUGUGACACAACACACGUGAGGUCCAUCCACCCGGGAGCUUGUGAACUCUGGCAGGAAUACAGAGUGACCUGAGCUCCAAAACAUCCCUUUACAGUGUUUUAUAUUGGGAGCUCUUAUUCUUUGCAAACACACCAAUUAUAUCCGAGAAAUGAAGCUAGUUCAUAUGCUGAACUAGAGCUGAAUUGCAAAAUUUUGAAUCAAAACUUUGAAGGGAAUAAAGUGAGGCUAGACCAAACAUAAUGAACUGGAAGAACAGAAAUGGUGGAGUAGCUCAUUAGUCUUUGAGGUAAGUACUACAGGUAUUUUUUUUUUUGGUCAAUAAUAUUUUAUUUUUCCCCAAAUACAUGUAAAAUAAUUUUAAACAUCAAUUUUCUAACUUUUCCUGUCCCUUCUUUGAGAUGGUAAACAAUUUGAUAUAGGUCAUACCUGUGCUAUCAUGCAAAACCUAUGAAGAAAAUAAAGUGAAAAAUGGUUUGCUUCA
rnacentral:lncRNA from 1 species